rnacentral:rRNA from 1 species
AAUAGAUACCCGGGUAGUCCACGCCGUAAACGAUGAAUACUAGGUGUAGGGGUUGUCAUGACCUCUGUGCCGCCGCUAACGCAUUAAGUAUUCCGCCUGGGGAGUACGGUCGCAAGAUUAAAACUCAAAGGAAUUGACGGGGGCCCGCACAAGCAGCGGAGCAUGUGGUUUAAUUCGAAGCAACGCGAGGAACCUUACCUAGACUUGACAUCUCCUGCAUUACCCUUAAUCGGGGAAGUUCCUUCGGGGACAGGAAGACAGGUGGUGCAUGGUUGUCGUCAGCUCGUGUCGUGAGAUGUUGGGUUAAGUCCCGCAACGAGCGCAACCCUUAUUGUUAGUUGCUACCAUUUAGUUGAGCACUCUAGCGAGACUGCCCGGGUUAACCGGGAGGAAGGUGGGGAUGACGUCAAAUCAUCAUGCCCCUUAGUGUCUAGGGCUACACACGUGCUACAAUGGCAAGUACAAAGAGACGCAAUACCGCGAGGUGGAGCAAAACUCAAAAACUUGUCUCAGUUCGGAUUGUAGGCUGAAACUCGCCUACA